ACUUCCGCUUCUUCUUGUCUCGCGACGCCUCCUCCAAGCCGCUCAAGGAAUCUGGAGUUCAUGUAUCAUUAUCAAACACAAGCUUGUGGAAGGGGUGGGUGUGGCUGGGAGAAAAUGUUAAACAGGAAGGGAAGAAGCUGGAUCACCACAAACGCCAUGGAGGAGAAGCCCACAAAUUGGAUCUCACGAAUUCCACCACCACUCCUCGCCGCCGUCCAUGCUCCGACGUCAGCAGGGCCAGCAAGACGGCGACUUCCACUGGCUGUAAGCCAUCAAAGCUUUGCAUGCGUGAGGCC